UGCUUAUUUCGCGAUGUCGGAGCUCGACCGCCGCUUCAAACGAUGAUCUCGUUCAUUGACGAACACAGUAGCGUGUUCGGGGUCGAGCCGAUAUGCAGUCUUUUGCCGAUUGCCCCA
rfam:Rhizobium oryzae strain 1.7048 scaffold23, whole genome shotgun sequence.